GGGCCGAUAGCUCAAUCGGUUAGAGCAGCGGACUCAUAAUCCGUCGGUUCCUGGUUCAAGUCCAGGUCGGCCCACCA
rnacentral:tRNA from 1 species